rnacentral:rRNA from 1 species
UGCCCACUGAUAAAAAUUAAAGGGCUGCAGUAUAUUGACUGUACAAAGGUAGCAUAAUCAUUAGUCAUUUAAUUGAUGACUUGUAUGAAAGAUUGGAUGAAAUAUAGACUGUCUUAAAGGUAAAUUUUAAAAUUUAAUUUUUAAGUUAAAAAGCUUAAAUGUAUUAAAAAGACGAGAAGACCCUAUAGAGUUUUAUUAAUUUUUUAAAUUAAAAUUUUUAUAAAUAAUUAUUAAAUUUAAUUUAAAAAAAUUAAUUUUAUUGGGGUGAUAGAAAAAUUAAAUGAACUUUUUAAAAAAAAACCAUAAAUAAGUGAUUAAUUGAUCCAAUUAUUAUUGAUUAUAAGAAAAAAUUACCUUAGGGAUAACAGCGUUAUUUUAUUUUUUAGUUCAAAUAGGAAAUAAAGUUUGCGACCUCGAUGUUGGAUUAAGAUAAAAUUUAAAUGCAGAAGUUUAAAAUUUUUGA